CCUGACCUCAUUUAAGGGAUGGCAGUGGGGGCAAGGGGAUCUUGCUGGAGAUUCUUGCCACACCUGAGGUCUCUUGAAGAGCCUCGGAGAAGUUCAGAUCCAGCUUCACACUUCACAGCUCUGGCACCAGAGCCAGGCCAACACCCCUCUUCCCCUGAACCUCUGCAGUAAAAUCCUGAUCCAACAUUUCCAGAUGGUGCCACUCUGCCUAAGGGCUCUGGCUGGACACAGGCUCCAGGAGCAGAGUUAAAUGCAAGCUUUUGAUUAAAGUGGUUACCCUGAUUUCCCUUCUGUGCAACCCUUUGCAAGCCAUUGGGUGGGGUCUGACGAGAACAUGUGUGGCUGAAGCACUUGCUGUAGGAAGAUGAUUGUCAAGCCGAACCUUGGAAAUGAUUUCUGGAAGCCAAGGGAAUAAAUUUCAUGGAGAUUUGCCUUCCUCAACUAGCGACUGUAGCACUAUGCCAUUGAAAAACCAUUGAGGGAGGGAAGCUGGCAAAGAAGAGAUUUAAAACAGGUCUUUAAGAGUAGUGUAAAACUGAAGAGUUGCACAUCAUACGCUGGUAAAAGCAGAAGGUCUAGGUCUGCUGUGCAGGUGUCACGAGUAAUUAUUUCCAGUAACUUAUUGAGAAACACUUUAGAUGUUUUGACUACAAAGUGUAAAGAGCUCUGCCAAAAAACUCCAACAUUGAAGAGGAGGAGGGAGAGGCAGGAAAAAAGAGAGACAGUAGAAAUAGGAGAAAACACACAGUGCAUUUACGUUCUAGUGAAGCGUUGCAGUUUUAACAAUUUUGGAGCUUGCCAGGACUGAUGACCUUUAUGGGCUGCCUUGAAUUCACUGAAGUCAAAGAGUACCAUGCCUUCAGCAAGUAGCAAGCCAAGUUAUAAAAACAUGGCUUAAAUUUGAUAGUGAUCCUCACAUUUGCAGCUGGAUUUGGAAGUGGAUGGUGCUUGGUGCUCUGCUCUGGAGUAGCUCAUAUCUGGAAUCUUGGCUCUAAAGUAGCUGAGACCCCUUGUUUAUGUUUCUCGUUGGUGAAGCUGACCAUUCCUAGCAUCCUGGUGGAUGGGGUCUGGAUGGUCUGAGAGAAUCCACCCCAUGCCAUUGUAGGAUCAGCCUUUCCUAAACCAACAGGACUGAGGUGACUCUUGCCCCCUCUCCACAGCCUGCAGCUCUACCCACCAUCUCUUCACCAAUAUGUCACAGGCUACCUGAACAGAAUUGCUCAGUGCUGAAAUGCCAACCCAUGCCAAAGAAGGGCUAAGCUGGAGGAUCAACCCCAGAAUUUCAUUAAGCAUACUGAUUUCACAACCACGGUUCUACCCAUUUCCUCCAGGCAACAAGUAUGGUGGGUGGUGAAGAAUGGGGAAUCCCUGCAGAACGCAGGUAUGUAGUGUAUCAGAGGGUGUGCAGCCUCACCCCCAUGCGUGCAUGUUGCACAAGGAAGCAGAGUAUGAACAACAUUUUGCUCCAAGACAUCUUUCUUCCAGCUCUGCUCAAAAUGGAGUGUGGCCUGGCCUUGAAGAAAUUAUCUCUGAGUAGGUUGGGCUGGGAUGGCUGCAGGAGAAGUUCUGGAGCUCUGAAAUAAGGGAGAGAGAAGCAAGUUUGGAAACGGCUCCACCAAAGGGCAUAUUUAGUGGGGAAACCUCAUGGUCACACUGCUGCCUGUCUCUCCUCCAGUCUGUAAACUGUGACUAAACAGUUAUUGGAAUAAAAAAAGAAAUACCUGGAAUGAGGAUAUCCAAGAUAUCCAUUUCUGAAGGGCACAAGAAGGUGAUGAACUGGGAGAGGCAAGAAACAUUGCACUCGUUCUACUGUGAACAGCAGAGCAGCAGCACUCAUGGGUGCUGGGUCAUCUCUGAAAUGAUCCUUACUGCGUCCAUGGGGCUGGCAUGUCUCAGUGCUUGGAAAAAGAAUGGUAGUCAGGAAGUUUAGGUUUUGCUCUCCCAUCUAUGGGGUGCUUUUUGCAUAGGUCAGAUCUAUUCUGCAUUCACUGGUAUACCAGCAGUGUUGAUCUUUACAGAGUUCAUGUCCUCAGCUUUGUAAAAGGAUCAGGAUUUAACUCAAUAACAACAAUUCCAAUAAAAAUAGUAGUGGGAUUGUAGGGCCUUGGGCUCUGCUGCAAGUGCCAGGUGCUCUUAUAAAUUAACUACUAGUGUUUCCACUAUUGGUGCCAUGAACCUCAUGAGCUGAGGCAGCACUGGGACAGGUAGCCCUAGACUGUCUCUGAGUCUUCAAAAUCUGAGGAGCCUGACCCCACAGUUCAUGAAGCCAAGGGGAAGGCUGCAUUAACUUAAGAGAUCCUAAGGGGAAAGAAAACACAUGGAAAGGCUUCAAAUACAUCACUGUGGAAUGAUGAUGGAAACGCACCAUUGUGGAAAUAUGUCAUAAGAAUGACUAAAUCCCCAGCAUAAGGCCAACAGCAACAUUAAGGUGGUGAAAAGCAUUUCACUUAUUCCCAUGCUUCCAGGAGCAAUUGGCAUCCUCGAGCCCUGCAGAGGGAUCACGAAGGGAAUACAACCAUUUCUUUACACUGGACCAGCCAUGAAGGCUCACCGGCUGUGUUUGAACUAGCAGCUUCUGUAAAAGUGGUAUCCAUUAGAGCAUUCCUCGCCACGCUGAAUUGUGGAAGAGAGAACUAAAAGUUAAAAGUGGGCUAAGAGGAAAAAGGCAUGUUAUUGUCCAAGAUGUGAAAUGAGAAGGGAAGCCAGUGAGAAAUGUGCAAAUACACUGUUUGAAAUGGCAAGAUCCCUAGCGAAGUUUUUAUACCAACAGACUUGUUUAGAAAGAGAGAGGUUGCUACAGCAAAUGGAAGAAAAGGAGGAGAAAGUGAAUCAAAAAUUUAAAGGAACAAGGCUUCAAAAGCACGCCAGAGCAGGAUGGCAUGUGGGAAGUAGCACAUCGAAUCAAGUGUGACCAUCUUGCUGAAUCUGAAAUAGCAUAGGUUUUCAGAAGUCAUUACCAACUUUGUGAAUAUCAAAUAAUUGGAGUCUGCUGACUACGUUCCCCAUAAUUCCAUUCUGAUAGGCCAUCCUGUCCUGGACGUCUCAGCCACCUUCUCUAUGACAAAGCAGUUCCAAAACAUCAGCCACUGCAGAAAAAUCUUGGCUGAAGCAUAAGGCAGCACUUAACGGUGGGAUGAGAUGACCAUCUCUUCUUCACCAGGCCCUGAGAUCUCCCACCACAAAGCAGCAUUCCCAGCAUGUUUUCCCCAGGCACAUAAGCUUGUGGAAAGAAAAACUCUUCCAACCGGAAACAGCAAAUUAGGAUAACAUGAUCUCUUAUUUGUGAUGUCUCGCCUGAGCAUCCCAGACACGCGCCACGCUGACGCCAUCUCUGCAACCCAACCAAGAUGGGAGCAGGCUGGGAGGAAUAGAUAGAGAGAAGAAUAAAUAAACCUGAAGGACAUAUUUGUGGCAUGACUCGGAAGGAAGAAAAGCAAAAAUUUCAUAGAAAUAGAGUACAAGGAGGGGAGAAAAAGCCUCCCUGAUGCACCAGAGCUGCUCGGGGGACACAGAAUUAAAAAUAAUGUUGAUUCCUGACCUAUGAUAUCUUGGAAAAAUAGCCCCAAACCCUUCCAGGCUGUCCAAAUUCCGAGAGCUAACGUCAGCCCUAUUCAGAGGGAUAUUCCCGCUGCCUCUCUUCUGGAGACAUCGUGUUUUUCUGGCUGUCGCCUGCCGUUCCCUUGACACUAGCAACAUUUUUUGGUCAACCCUUAAUUAUAAAUAACUAAUUUCCUCCAUUGAAAGAUUUGGAUGGUUCAGAGUUGUGUUAAGGGUAGGGGGAGUAGUCCCAGCAUGGAGAUUCUCAGAUGGAUUGGAUGGAAGAGGAGAGGAAGGGACUCCGCCCACCAUGGCAAAGAAAGCAUCACAUUCUGCUGGCAUCCCCAACAACACGAGCAAGACCAAAACGACCCUAGAAUGGGCAACUCUGAUUCCCCUCAAACCCUCUUUUCCAUUGGCAUUCCUAGCUGAGACAAGGAGCAUGCAACUGGCGUCUUUGCCUGUCACUUACUGCCAAGGUCAUGCUCUCCCUCCUUUUCGGCGCUUCUGUGAUUUUCCCUGGGGAUGGCAGAGAAGCUUUUGGUCUCCAUGAAAGAACCAAAUGACAGACUUCUCCUCUGCUCCCUGAAUAGCUUCCCAGCUCCUUCAAGAUUGGAGAAUUCUGAACUAGAUGAUAUUUACGUGCCGUGGGUGCUGCAAACUGACACACGAGUGCAGGGAAAGCCAGAAGGAUACGUGGGGGGGAAAAAAUAAUGAGGAAAAAAAAUCACCCAAGAAAUAACACCCUCUUUGCACAAAGAAUAAAGGAGAACACAGAAGAGAGGCAUAAAAUGUCUUCAGUUUUGCAGACAUUUCUCCAGGAGCAUAAAUAAACUCGGUGAGCAGCUAGAGCCACUUGGGCCUGGGGAGUAUGUGCACCCCUGGGAGAGUGCAGCUAUCAAGAAGAGUAUAUGCAACAGUGGAUGGAGAGUAAGGUAGGAAAGAUCAUAACCUGCCAUUGCCAGCAUGGACAUGAACACCAUUUGGAAUGGUGAUGUUUGAAGGACUGAGUCCAGAUAUGAGGGCUUCCAUCAUGCCAGUGCUCAGCAGCACUCACCCAUGGCACUGCUAACUGAAUGGUGCUAGUGAAUAAUCUGACUGCAAGGAAGGCUUAGGUACUGUGUGAACACUUGUAGAACUCAUGGCUGCUGGAGAAUCAGGAUGGGGAAGCCUAGAUCUUGCACUGUUCUACAGCAGUACAGUGGAGCAGCACUGAUGCUUCUGUGGUCUUUGUAAUUGGUCACGAGCACAGGACUGUGUAUGGGACAGGAUGUACUGUCACUGCGUG